CAACGUUAUCUCAAAGAAUGCCUCACAAGUGACAACUUGUUUUUUAACUCUUUUCUCAACUUGUCUAACUUUGAUACUAAUCAGAGGAGCCAACUUUGAAAACUUACACAACAACUAUAACCAUUCAUUUUAUUGAUAAUAUCUGAAAACAAAUAAUUUAGCAUAUUCAUCUUUCAAGAGAUAAACUUUGAUUCAUUCCAAUUCUCAUACACCUGAAAAUGGCUUUUGAUUUAGUAGGAACUUUGAUUUCACAACUGACACCUUAUGUCCAAGAGGAGUAUGCAACAUUUAAAGGUGUUAACAAACAUGCUGAAAAGCUAUUAAGUAAUCUCGAUGCCAUUCGUGCUGUCCUAAAAGAUGCUGAUGAGAAGCAAAUCACAAGUGAUGCUGUGAAACAUUGGCUGCAGAACCUGACUGAUGCAGCACAUGUUCUUGAAGAUAUAUUGGACGAAUGUUCAAUAGUUUCCGAAGCUUACAAAGACAAAUACUCCAUCAUCCAUCCUAAGAAGCUAUAUGCGCGUCGUAGCAUUGGAAAGAAGAUGAAAAAUGUUGCUGAAAGGAUUGAUGCUAUUGCUGAAGAAAGGGUCAAGUUUGGAUUAAAUCCUGGAACCAUGGAGCAUCGUCUGGUAGAUGAUGUACGGCGCCAAACUACCUCUGUCAUCACUGAACCCCAAAUUCAUGGAAGAGAUGAGGAUAGGAAGAAGGUUGUUGAUUUUCUUGUCAAUCAUGCUUGUGACAGAGAAGAACUCUCUGUAUAUUCCAUUGUUGGCCACGGUGGAUAUGGAAAAACAGCACUCGCUCAACUAGUUUUCAAUGAUGAAAGGGUAAUUGCUCACUUUCCUGUGAAAAUAUGGGUUUGUGUUUCUGAUGAUUUCAAUAUCAUGAAACUUUUCCGUUCUAUCAUAGAAAUCGUAGACGGAAAAAAUCCAGAUCUCAUUUCCUUGGAAUCAAUGCAAAAAAAGGUUCAACAAAUUUUGCAAACCAAAAGGUAUUUGCUUGUGCUUGAUGAUGUUUGGAGUGAAGACCCAGAGAAUUGGAGCAGAUUCAAGUAUCUGUUGCCAAAUGGAAAUGGAACAAAAGGUGCAUCAAUUUUAGUCACUACACGACUUGAGACUGUUGCAAGCAUUGUGGGACCUCAUCCUGCUCAUCAUUUGGUAGGUUUAUCGGAUGAUGAUAUUUGGUCAGUGUUUAGACAACAAGCUUGGUCAUUGUUUGGACCAAACAGGGAAAUGCGUGCGGAGCUUGUUAAGAUUGGAAGGAAUAUUGUGAGAAAAUGUGGUGGUUCACCUCUUGCCGCCAAAGCACUAGGAAGCCUUUUACGUUUUAAAACAGAGGAACAUCAAUGGGAUUCUAUAGAGAAAAGUGAGAUUUGGAAGUUGUAUGAUGAUGCUACCAAGUCUGCUUUAACACUGAGCUACUACAAUCUAAAAUUAUCGUUGAGGCCAUGUUUUACCUUUUGUGCUAUAUUUCCUAAAGAUUUUAAAAUGGUGAAGGAAGAUCUAAUUCAUCUUUGGAUGGCCAAUGAAUUUAUUUCGUCCAGAGGAAAUUUAGAGGUGGAGCAUGUAGGCAAUGAUGUGUGGAAUGAACUAUGCCAAAGAUCAUUUUUUCAAGAAGUUGAAACUAAUGGAAAAGGUAAAGUUACAUUCAAAAUGCAUGAUAUAUUCCAUGAUAUUGCUAGCUCCAUUAUGGGACAGCAAUGCUUAGCUUUAGAAACUGCUAGCUUGACUACUUUGUCAAGAAGAGUUCAUCAUAUUAGUUGUUUCAAUGUUGAUGAAAAAUUCAAAUACAACUUGAUUCCGUUCAAAACUGUGGAAUCCUUGCGGACUUUUCUUCAAUUUAAUCCGCCUAAAUCAAAUUUAAGUGUGUUUCCAUCAAUCACUCCUCUCCGAGUAUUAAGUUCAAACUGUACUCAACUCUCAGCCUUAAAGAAUUUUAUCCAUUUGAGGUACUUGGAACUUUAUGAUAGCACCAUUGAAACCCUGCCUGAGUCUAUUUGUAGCCUAAGAAAAUUACAAACACUAAAACUUGAUCAUUGUUCCAGGCUUAUUAGUCUUCCCAAGCAAUUGGCACAACUACAAGAUCUCAGACAUCUCGUGAUUACACGGUGUUCCUCAUUAAUUUCAAUGCCUACUAAUAUUGGGGGGUUAACUCAUUUGAGAACAUUAAGCACUUUCAUUGUUGGUUCGAAGGGUAGGUUCAGUUUAGCAGAGCUACAUAACUUACAACUAGGAGGCAAGCUACACAUCAAAGGCCUUGAGAAUGUGUCGAAUGAAACAGAUGCCAGAGAAGCUAAUUUAAUUGACAAGAAGGAAUUAAGUCAGUUAUACUUGUCAUGGGGUGGGGAUGUUAAUUCAAAAGGCAGUGGUACUGGCGCUGAGCAAAUCCUUGAAGCCCUUGAACCUCACAAAGGUCUCAAAUAUUUUGGGAUGAAGGGUUAUAAGGGAAUAAAUAUUCCAAAUUGGAUGAGAAAUACUUCUAUUUUGGAAGGUCUGGUUGAGGUUAUACUUUACGACUGCAGAAACUGUGACCGACUUCCUCCACUUGGUAAAUUACCAUGUUUAACAACUCUUUAUGUGUCUGGAAUGAGAGACGUGAAGUACAUUGAUGAUGACUUGUAUGGAGGUUCCACCAAGAAGGCUUUUCCAUCAUUAAAGAAAAUGAAGUUAUAUGAUUUACCAAAGUUAGAGAGGGUGUUGAAAGCUGAAGGAGUAGAGAUGCUAUCACAACUGUCCAACUUGAGCAUAAAUGGGACCCCAAAGCUUGCAUUUCCAAUAUCCCUUCCAUCUGUUGAGACUUUUUAUGCUUAUGGGAAUACUGAAAGAGAUUCCAUUGAUGGUGGUGCAUCUUUCCUGAGGGGAAUUGCAGCUAGUAUGCAUAAUCUCAAAAAACUUCUCAUUGUAAAAUUUGAUGAACUCAAGGUACUACCUAAUGAACUCAACGGUCUCAGUUCCCUACAAGAACUACGCAUUUUCAUUUGUGAUAAGCUUGAGUCUGUCCCCGAGUGUGUACUGCAAGGUUUGAGUUCUCUUCAAGUUUUGACAUUUUCGUUUUGCUUUAGCUUAAAAUCCUUAUCGGAAGGUAUGAAAAACCUGACUUGUCUUGAGAGCCUAGGAAUUGCAUUUUGCAGGAGCUUAAAAUCCUUGCCGAAAGGUAUGAACAAGCUAACUUCCCUUCGUCAAUUGACAAUCUUCGGCGGAAAAGAUGGAACUUUACCAAAUGGCUUAGAAGGUAUUCCCUCGCUGCAAAGUUUGUAUUUGUCAAGUUUUCAUUCUCUUGUAACCUUGCCAGACUGGUUGGGGACCAUGACUUCUCUUCAAACAUUAGAAAUCAGUUGGUGUCGGAAAUUAACCGCAUUACCAGCUAGCUUUAAAGAACUCAAAAACUUGCAUGAAUUACGUAUUAGGGGAUGUCCUAAGCUAGUGAAGCGAUGCAAGAAAGAAACAGGGAAAGAUUGGCAUAAGAUAGCUCAUGUACCAAAAUUGGAAUUGGACCAAGAAAACAUCAAAGGUAUUUAUGAAUUACGUAUUUAUCAUCUAUUGUUAUACCAAAAAAAAUUUACGGUAAUUUAAUGAAUAGUUUUCAUUUCUUACUGUAUCUAGUUUUAUCAUCAAAAGUAGGAGAAGUAUACUGUUUUUAACACAUUGAAAUGUGGAUGCAGAUAAGAGGAAUUUGACGAGUUUGUUGAUGACGAGUUGGUUAUCUGAUUAUGCUCAAUUUGACAAGUUGGUUGAUGACGUGACGAACUGACGAUUGCUGAAUUUAGGAUGUAGGGGAAUUUAUUAAAUUCAAUUUAUUUAAUUAUUAUUGUCAUUUGUUUCGUUUUGGUUAUUUGGCACCUGUAUUUUGUGCUUUUUUUUUUGUUUGGUUCAUUUUUUUAUUUUUAUUUUUUAUAUUUGGUUUGUUUCACCUAUACCAAAUGACUAGAAGUUAUUACAGUUGAUUUUGAAGUAAAGACUCGUUUUGCCCAGUUUUUUUUAGAGCUUAUGCUAACAGUUUAUGUAAUUUUUAUAUAUUAUGAUAAGUUUGUCAA